rfam:Capsicum annuum cultivar Zunla-1 unplaced genomic scaffold scaffold1074, whole genome shotgun sequence
UGAUGAUAGUGAGGGUAAUUUUUUAGCAUACCCUUAAACCUUUCCCAAGCUUAGAAAGAUUUUCUCCUUCUUUCUACCUAAAACUUAGAAUCUCACAUCUCAAACA